AGAUAUUGGUCAUGACUUGUCAUUAUCAAAUCAACUAAGCUCGACACGCUAUUGAGGAUCAGCUCGGUAACAUAAUGGAGAAAAGUAUACAUCUACUAACCGGUGUGGGCCUAAAAUUAGCCAUCACUCGAAUAAGUUUGUUACAAAAUAGUUUAAUAUUUAGAUUUAAAUAAAACUACUUUACCCCCAUUUAAAAUGAAGAUAAGAUGCUCAACCAACUUUUAUCUAUACCUAUGCUAGGAUGAGUAUUAAAAUUCUUUUCAGAGCUUGUACUAUUAUAUUUGCAAGUUAUUAAUAAAUAUUAAAAAUAUUAAUUAAAAAAAAGGAACUCGGCAAAUUGUGUUGCUCCGCCUGUUUAUCAAAAACAUGGUUCCUCGAUCAAAAAAAAUGAGGAAUCAGGCCUGCCCAGUGAAAUUUUAACGGCCGCGGUACUCUGACCGUGCAAAGGUAGCGUAAUCAUUUGCCUUAUAAUUGAAGGCUAGUAUGAAUGGUUUGACGUGAGCGACGCUGUCUACUUUUAUAUUUUCUAUAAAUUAACCUUUAGGUGAAGAGGCCUAAAUUUAAUUAAAGGACAAGAAGACCCUGUCGAGCUUAAAAGCUUAGAAAGGAAUCAUUAUUAACAAAAUUUAUUUCUUUUGUAACUUUUUAGUUGGGGCGACUAAGGAACAAAUAAAGCUUCUUCCAUAAAAAUAGCCAAUAAGCCAAGAUCCAGUUUACUGAGCAAGAAAAUUAGUUACCGCAGGGAUAACAGCAUAAUCUCUCUUGAGAGACCAAAUCGAAAGGGGGGGUUGUGACCUCGAUGUUGGACUAGAAUAUCCUAAAGAUGCAGACGUCUUUGAGGGUUGGUCUGUUCGACCAUAAAAAUUCU
rnacentral:rRNA from 1 species